GCAACGCCGCNUGAGUGAUGAAGGUNUUCGGAUCGUANAGCUCUGUUCSUAGGGAAGAACAAGUGCAAGAGUAACUGCUUGCACCUUGACGGUACCUAACCAGAAAGCCACGGCUAACUACGUGCCAGCAGCCGCGGUAAUACGUAGGUGGCAAGCGUUGUCCGGAAUUAUUGGGNGUAAAGGGCUCGNNGGCGGUUUNUUAAGUNNGAUGUGAAAGCCCCCGGCUCAACCGGGGAGGGUCAUUGGAAACUGGGAAACUUGAGUGCAGAAGAGGAGAGUGGAAUUCCACGUGNAGCGGUGAAAUGCGUAGAGAUGUGGAGGAACACCAGUGGCGAAGGCGACUCUCUGGUCUGUAACUGACGNUGAGGAGCGAAAGCGUGGGGAGCGAACAGGAUUAGAUACCCUGGUAGUCCACGCCGUAAACGAUGAGUGCUAAGUGUUAGGGGGUUUCCGCCCNUUAGUGCUGCAGCUAACGCNUUAAGCACUCCGCNUGGGGAGUACGGUCGCAAGANUGAAANUCAANGGAAUUGACGGGGGCCCGCACAAGCGGUGGAGCAUGUGGUUUAAUUCGAAGCAACGCGAAGAACCUUACCAGGUCNUGACAUCCUNUGACAACCCAGAGAUAGGGCUUUCCCUUCGGGGACAGAGUG
rnacentral:rRNA from 1 species